UUGGAAAAUAUUUCAGAGCAACAUGUUCACUUUAGCUAAGAAGAUUUUCCAAAUAUACACAAACACUCCCGGGCGCACACUUGUGUCCACAAAAAAAAAAGGCAUUUUAUCUCCUCACAAACAGCUCUAAAGACCCGGCUAUCUGAAGCUCCUGCUCGGCAUUCCUGCAGAGCUGCUGGAAAUCAGUCUAAAUGGAGUGUGUUUAAUAAGAGGUUGAGCUGGACACAUUGCCUUUGAUUGAGCUGCAUACCUCACAGGAUGUGCCUGCUGAGGUUUUACAGAUUGCUCACAUGAAAGGCUCCUGAGGUUUACCUAAUCACAAGGAUGUGUGGCUGCCCCAUGCGGCCGGAUUUACAGUCCAAACACUUUGAGGGAGCGCGGCUCUGUUUUUGCUCUCUGCCCGUCUGUUACUUCCAUCUUGGUACUACAGAGUUUGGAAAGUGACUGUCAUUUGUCUUGUUAACACGAUGCAGCUAACUCGGUUAUGUAAUGGCACCUGAAUGUUAUGCGAGCCGCCUUUUAAGUCAUCUGUAGCAUUCCUUUAUAAAGCACUGACAGACCACAGAGACAGAGACCACAAUCCUUCACUCUUAACUGUACCAAAAGAUCUCGUCAUGCUCGUGAGAAAUUAAUCUUGUUGUUCCAGCCAACACGGCACAAACCUGUAAAAACCAUCACACUUUCUCUCUCUCUCAUAUAACUCCUGCAAUUAAAUCACCCAGAGACUACCUCAUUCCCUGAACCCCAAAAGUGUUUAUAUGACAAAGACAUAAGCAUUAAAGCUUCAUCAAGGACGACGUCAUGCUGUGCACCCAGAAGCUAACAGCACCAAGAGUGGCCAUUACAACACGCUGGAAGCUGCCGAGCACUGAUGUCAGCUUUUUUUACAACCCCCCUGUCUGUAACUUCAGGUUAAUACUCACUGUUAUAAGGAACUCAUGGGCAAGUAGUGAGGAGGGUGAGAGGCUGGUCACCAAGUACAAAAGCAGAGGCAGGCGCUUGUUUUGAAAGCACCAUCUGCUGGACAAGACGGGGAAGAGCAUGUGAUCAAAAAAAGUUGGGAGGUUGAAUAAAAUGCUGAUAAAAACAGUUUUUGAUAAGUUUUCAAAUCAUUUAAACCCUGUAUCCAAUAGAAAAAAAAGCAAAGACAACAUAUAAGUUGUUAAAAAAUGUUAUGUAUGGGCAUCCAUAUGUGCAUUUUGAAUUUGAUUCCAGUAACAUGCUUAAAAAAUAGGAACAGGGAUAACAAAACACUAAAAAAGGUGAAAAUCUCCUAACUGAGCAGAUUAAAGCUCCCGUAAGGAGUUUUUUUAUGUUGAUGAAAUUAAUUUUGAUUCCUUUUUAUGUUAAAUUAUAGCAAACAAGACCGUCAAUGACAAGAUCAACAGUUUCAACAUUGCUGUUUUUAAGGUCUGAAACUAGUGUGAGAGGGUUGGUGUCAGCAAAGCAGUUAAAGAAACAGUCUUCUUUUUUAAUAAUGUUCACUUGAAAUAUUCAAAAUAAAAGAUUAGAUCUAAAAGUCAGCAUGAAGAGAUCUUUUUGUCAGUAUCAAAGUAUGUUGUCGGCAGUGAAAGUAAAGACCGAUUUGUCCACAGGGAGCUCCAUGAUCAAAAUGGCCUGAAAGUUCCUUACAGGAGCUUUAAUUUUCAACUAGUUUGUAACAUGAGGCACACAAGAGAAAAGUUGAAAAGAGGUUUGGUACACUGUGUGAGAACUGUUCAACAAUAUGAAAGUGCGAUUCAAGAAAAAAAAAUAUCAUUAAAGGGGCAAAGGCAAAAAGAAAACCCAACAGUUAGUGGCCCUGAUCUUCAGGCCCUGAAGCUGCACUAAAAACAGACAUGUCUCUGAAGUAGAAGUCACUGCAGAGGCUCAAAAUCUCCCAAUAAUCCAUCAUCUCUGAACACAGUCUAUCACUGCAUCCACAAAUGCUAAACCAAUGACUCAAUGGAUCAUAAUUGACACCACAUCCUCAGCUCUUCACAGGAGAGGGACCACCAAGCUUGUUAUCUAACGGUAUGGACAUGGCAUGAGUAGCUUACACUCUGAGGAAAGCGUCAUUAAUGCUGAACAAUAUAUACAGGCGCUGGAGCAACAUACGCUGCCAUCCAGAUGAUGCUUUCUCUUUGUUUUUCUGUUAGAGUGGAUUAGCAUUUUUCAUGUGAAAUGUCACUAAAAGUAAGUGAUGUAAAAGACACCCAUCAGCUAAAGGGUGUGGGACCUUCUCUUAAAAACCAGCAUGAACACACACACACACACACACACACACACGUAACAGUGACAGUGAUGCAAUCCCUCAUACACACCCAUCACAUCCACAUCUGUAAUUACAUAAGAAUAACUGAUGAGGAGGCGUAGGGCGAAAUUCGGAAUCCAUUCCCCUCCCAGGCUGAUGGAGAGCUCAGUCUGUUCCCAGAAGGCCGCUGGCUACUGGAGUGAUGAUUCCUCUCAAACAAGCCGAGCAUUGAUGGAAGAGGCAGAGGGGAGUCUUAGGGCGUCUAAAGCCUCGGCCCAGUGGAGACAAUGUUGGAUUGAAUCAUCUCCAAGAGGGCACAUGCUGUCAACAGCUGAGCUAAUGUUAGCGUAGGCUGCUUUGAUAAUGAUACACAUGAGCAGAACAAUGAGAUCACAUUAAGAGAGGUUCAAAUGGGCUUUUUAUUCCUGAAAAUGUUGAACCGAUCAGUGUCUAAAGUGGAUUUUUAAAAACAAGUCAAUUAUGAUGAGCGAUUGAUGUCUUUGGAUCGGUUUUCGUUUUGUUGUGUGUUGAUACCGGCCUGUUGCGGAUAUCCUGAUAAUGUCAAAUUGCCCUGAUUGAUCAGUCUAUCUUUACUCUGCAGUUUUGGAGACAGACUACUGAGACAGAAUACAGUGUCUGUUGCCCAAAG